rnacentral:ncRNA from 1 species
UUAAAAACUGUGAUCAGGGAAAGUAAUUAAAAAUAUUUAUCUCAGCGAAGCGGGAUUAGUGAGAGCCUGCCGGUAAGUAUUUUAGUGAAGUUCCCCUGUGAGUUGUCAGCUGAACAAAAAAGUAAGCUUGAACCGGUUGUCUACCGUUAUCCUGACAGAUUAUAGGAUUUAUUUUUAAUUCCCGUAAUUGUUGAGUGGGCUAUUUAGCCAAAAAGAUUGGUACCACGAGUAUAACACCCUCGUUCUUUA